rnacentral:rRNA from 1 species
GACGAACGCUGGCGGCGUGCUUAACACAUGCAAGUCGAACGGUGAAGCGCUUGCCUUUUUGGUGGGUGUGGAUGAGUGGCGAACGGGUGAGUAACACGUGAGUAACCUGCCCUCUUCUUCUGGAUAACCUCAUGAAAGUGGGGCUAAUACGGGGUAUUCCGGGUCUGUCGCAUGGCGGGUUUGGGAAAGAUUGCGCCUUUGGGUGUUUUCGGUGGGGGAUGGGCUCGCGGCCUAUCAGCUUGUUGGUGGGGUGAUGGCCUACCAAGGCGGUGACGGGUAGCCGGCCGGAGAGGGUGGACGGCCACACUGGGACUGAGACACGGCCCAGACUCCUGCGGGAGGCAGCAGUGGGGAAUAUUGCACAAUGGGCGCAAGCCUGAUGCAGCGACGCCGCGUGAGGGAUGGAGGCCUUCGGGUUGUGAACCUCUUUCGCCAGUGAAGCAGGCCUGCUCCUGUGUGGGUGGGUUGACGGUAGCUGGAUAAGAAGCGCCGGCUAACUACGU